GCCUACGGGAGGCAGCAGUGGGGAAUAUUGGACAAUGGGCGAAAGCCUGAUCCAGCAAUGCCGCGUGAGUGAUGAAGGCCUUAGGGUUGUAAAGCUCUUUUACCCGGGAUGAUAAUGACAGUACCGGGAGAAUAAGCUCCGGCUAACUCCGUGCCAGCAGCCGCGGUAAUACGGAGGGAGCUAGCGUUGUUCGGAAUUACUGGGCGUAAAGCGCACGUAGGCGGCUUUGUAAGUUAGAGGUGAAAGCCUGGAGCUUAACUCCAGAAUUGCCUUUAAGACUGCAUCGCUUGAAUCAUGGAGAGGUGAGUGGAAUUCCGAGUGUAGAGGUGAAAUUCGUAGAUAUUCGGAAGAACACCAGUGGCGAAGGCGGCUCACUGGACAUGUAUUGACGCUGAGGUGCGAAAGCGUGGGGAGCAAACAGGAUUAGAUACCCUUGUAGUC
rnacentral:rRNA from 1 species